CCCGGCACCCCGGCCGGUCCCAGCGCUGCCGCUGCCUCCGCAGGGCCCGCCCGGCAGGAUGCACAGCGCGGGAGGAUGCACAGCUCGGAAGGAUGCACCGCUCGGAGGAUACGCCGCUCGGGAGGAUGCCCUGCGCUCCAGAAAUGUUGGAAAAUGCAAAAUAUGAUCUGAUUCUAGUAGUGCUGGAACCUGGCACCUACAAGGCCUGAUGUGUGAGCAGUGCUGCCUUUCCCCCAGGGCAUCGUGACCACUGUGGAACAGGAAAGGUUCUCCCAGGCUCAGGAAAUGGAGCUGGUUGAUUAUUCAAGACCUUCAGCAAAGCCUUGUGAAACAACUGCCUCAUUCUGUGACACCUCUCUGAAGGACAUUCUGCUGCUUGUGUGCUCUUUGGAAGAAGGAGUUUUCCAGACCCCUUUCAUGGAUGCCCAGUUACCCCAGGAUAAAAAUGAAGAAGUAGAACUGGCAAUUCUGUGGUUCCUUGGAUCAGAGUGUGAGAGCCCAGCUUCAGCACAACUCAAAGUUUUCAUAGGAAAAGUGACUCGAGGUUGGCUUUGCUGGGCCCUGCGGUGCUGAUGGAAGCUCCAGCAGUUGCUGCUCCAUUCCCUCCUCUCAAACACCCAGAGAUCUGCACACUACGAGAUGGAGUCAAACUAAACAUAAAUCAUUGAGUAACACAUCUUCGUGGGAUCCCAGCCCGUGAGGUUGUCCAUGGAUAACAUAAACCACAAACACAGUCCAAGCGCACACUUAAUUGUGUCAGGUGAGAAUCUGCACUCUCAGACUAUGAAGACUUGCUCUUAAAGGCAUCCAGUUAAUUUAAGGUGUAUGCCUGGAUGUCUGGAAUCUGGGGGAUAACAGGUGACAAUCAUGUUCUGGAAGAAUUAAUGACAAAAAUGUAAGUUUGUGCUUGGCUUCUGUUGUGUAUGUUGUUUGUUUUGUCUUUAACAUGCUGAUAAGUUUGCUCUUUGCCAGAGAAACGUUUUCUGUGAAUUUGAACUGUUUGAAAUAAGGGAUAACCAUUUUCUGAAGGACCGUACAUUAUUUUCUGAAGGUCCUGCAAGCCUCUGAGUGAGCAGCUGCAGCUCAGCAUUCCCCCACAGUGCCUGUGUCCCCUCUGAGAUGGCUGAUGGGGUGGAGUGGGGAUGUGCCAGCCUCCUGCUCAGUGCCAGACAGGCACAGGCAGCCCCCAUCCCCCUUCUGCACCCUCACCCCGAGCUGGAGCUGCCUGUAAAGCCUCAUGGCAAUUCAGAGUGGGGAACUGACCAAAGUAAAGAAAUCUUCCUGUGUUUUGGGAAGUUUCCUUGGAUUGAUUUUUGUUCAAGGUCUGACAAAGUUUGCUAUCUUAAAAAUACAGAUUGACAGAGGAGGAUUCUCAGGCCCCAUACUAAAGGAGAUGAGGCACCAUCAUCAGCUGUCCUCACACCUCUGGCAUUGGCAGAAUGACACGGGGUGGGAUUUUGGCAGAGAACUGCUGCAUUUAAACUCUCUCAUAAGAAUAUUCCUAGACACUCUGGAGAACAUGCUGCUUCUCAUGCCUCUGCUGCAGCAGCUUUCCUUGGCUGCCAGCAAAAUUACCAGGAUUUUGGUAUUUAUUACAUACGGCCUUCAUGUUAUUCACUAGUUUCUCCUGACACAAAAAGAGUUUCAUCUAAAAUCCAUUUUGCUGUUGAAGCAAAACAAAGUGAUCCCUCUGAAAAUAUGUGAAUACACACUAAAAAAUCUGGGAGUCCCCAGGAGACAUCAAGGUCUGUGUGUGCCUGGAGAAAGAGAAAGCAGAGUCUGCCCUCUUCACCUGCAGGGAGGGAGAUGCUGUCAUUUGCUUGCUGUGCUCUGAAUGUGACUUGCAGCACCUCUGGACGCUCCAGUGGCCUUGGCAGCCGGGCAGAGCUCUCUGCUGGUGCCACCAGGCUGGGACUGUCCCGAGCAGGGCUUGUCUUUUGCUGCCAUGGCACCAACCUUGAGGAACAGUGACAAUUCAAACAAGGCCAUAUACAACUCAAAUGUCUGUGCAACACCAGGCAUAGAUGCUUUGCUCCCUCAAACCAGGGUCUUGUAUCUUCCCUUAGGAUAACAGCAGUGCUCAUCCCACCCUGGUGUGUGUCUGGAGCAGCCUUUGAAGUCGGGUAAAUGGGGGGUGAUGGAUUGAAAAAUGCUGCUGGGGUUCCUGUGCAGCUUCUGGAGGCGCCUGUGCCAUGGUGUGGUGGCUGGGCUGUUCUUGGCUCUUUCAAACUGCAGUGAGCCUUGACAGGUGGGAAAAGGAGGCAGAGGACUCUUCUUUGGAUACCACAUGCAUCAGUUUGCUUCUCUUGCUGCUCACUGAGAGGAAUUCUCUGUUAUGCUUGCCAGCUGAAGGAAUUCCAUCAUUUAACAAGUUGUAUGAGCAGUCCUGUUGGGUUUGAUUGGAUAGGGUUGUGUUUGUACAGCUACUGUAAAUUAAGUAAAAAGAAUUUAGUAUUUUUAUGUUAAAGAGUUUAGUGUUAACGGGUUUUAGUGUUUCGUGGAAGAUUUUAAAAGGAAACAAGGUACAUAAAAAAGCAAAAAUCAGUGCUGCUCUUUAGAUUACUCACUGUAGUUUUAUUUUCUCUUUCCUCAUGGGUUAUUGUGUUUUCAUAAAGCUGUGACUUGUUAAUUGAUUAGACUGAAGAUCAUAUUUAACAGAAUGGGUGGUUCAGCCUGGCAUGGACACCUCACUGAGUGGCUGUAAGAAUCCUGGAUAAACACAGCUGUGUUUGUGGCAAUUGAAACAAAGGGUCUUCCUCCCAGUGGUGCAUGGCAGGGGGAAAUUCUGGCUGUGAAAUCAUAGCUGUUGAUCUAUAUAAUCCAAACCCAGGGUGUGAUGGGGCCAUCCAGUCUGGCAGUGCUCUGCCACUGGAACAUUUCAGCACGUUUGCAGCAGCAGCAGGACCCCUGACUGUAAGCCUGUUCCCCUGCCCCUCUGUGCAUGGGGUGAGUGUUUGAACCACAGCAUUUUACAAAGCCACUCAUCUGCUCCUCUGUCUCACCCCAUAGAUCCAGCUUUUCCUUUGUGGGAGCCCCUGCCUUGGUGAGACUGAGACUGGAGCAGUUUUAGUCCCAUCUGCUCCCUGAGCCUGUCCUGGGCCUUAGGCUGGAAGUGUCUUAUCUUUAUUUGGGCUGCAAUCAUCUUUCCUUUUCUUCCCUUACCCUUUGUGAGCCUCUUUUUAAAAUUUUUUAAUUAUUAUCAAAAUCACGUGUAAAUAAUUUCUCAUGCGGUGGAUUUACAAAAUAUUUUCCCAAGUAUUAAGCAUUUGUGGUCAUGAUAAAAGAAGUGAAACAUGAAUAAGAGGUGCAUGCCCAAACAUUGCUGUUGGACACCACUGUGGUGAAUGCACAUUUGUGUCAAUAGAGGGAUUGUCCAUGGUACAACUUUUCAGUGUGGAUCUCUGAAUAUUCCUGGAUCACUCACACUGAAAUGGCUCCUUGAAUCACAGCAAACAAAACCUCAGUACUUCUGCUCAUGAUAGAAUGUGCAGUUUUUAGCUAUUCACCUUUGUCCAGCUCUAAUGAAAAGAAUAUAUCCCCUUGCUGUCUGAGCCACCAGAGCUUCCAGGGUAAGUGAUGAUAAUCUGUCAGAAAUAAUUAAAACCUGACUGUACAGAGCUUUCUUGCCAACAAAUUGCUUUCUGUGUUUGUACUGAAACUUCAGCACCACAUAAGGAACAGAUUUUCAAAGUCUUUUCAGGGGUUUUGGAGGCCCAUUUUUCUUGCACUGCGUUGGGUAUUGGAUAGCAAUAUCCUUAAGCAACUUUGAAAGUUUUGUUUAAAAUGUAGGAUUUUUUCCCCAUCUUUGUGAUUUCUGCAGUGCAACUGCAUUUGUAAUAUCCUUAACUUGCAACCAAAACUGUUGGUAAAUUUACAUUCCCAGUUCAUGUAAUUCUUAGAUAAGCUUGAAAGGGUUUCACUCUCUCCUUUAAUUUUUAUUUAUUUAUUUAUUUUAUUUAUUUAAAUUAUUUAACAAGUAAACAAAACCCCAAAACAAGAACCUCACCCAAAUUUGGUGUUUUAUGGCGGUCAUCGCCUCUUCUGGCUGCUAGCAGCUGAUCUCUUGUAAUUGCUUCCUUGGCAAAUUCCCAGCUCCCCUGUGCUUGGGGAGCCCUUGUGUGUGCAGGAAUUCCUGAUUUCCUGGGAUUCCUGAGCUCCUGGGAUUCCUGAGCUCCUGGAAAACCUGAUUUCCUGGAAUUCCUGAGUUCCUGGAAUUCCUGAGCUCCUGGAAUUCCUGAGCUCCUGGAAAUCCUGAUUUCCUGGGAUUCCCGAGCUCCUGGAAUUCCUCACUGGGAUGGUGAACCCUCCAGCACCUUCCAGAAAAGGGGUUCAGGGCCUCCUGGAAGGAGGAUGACUGCUCUGAAACUUCAUGGUUGUUUCCUUUGACUCUGUUACAUUUAGUUGGACUUUUAAAUCACUUUAUCACCGAGUGACAAAGAUGCAAGGACCCUGGGCAUUGGAUUCAAGUGCUGUCUUGCCAUGAUUUCUCUGAGAUCUGUAAAUUUUUCUGCUCUUUCAUUCCUUGCUUCUCUUCUUUACGUACUGAAAAGCUAUUUUUUGUAUUAGGAGAUUCCUGUCUAGAUCUUUAGAAGUUUUCUCAGAUACUUACAAAGUUUUGUGAAUGUUUCUUAAAAUACAAUCUUUUAUGUGUGUUUCAUCUUGCCUGAUACUGGCAAGGCAGAAACAGAAAUGGGAAUUGCUGUGAUUGCCUCUGUUCACCCACCAGUACUUUCCAGCUUUUAUAUUAUUGCUCCAUCUUUCAGCAUCCAAAUACAGCCCUGGACCAAAGAACAGAUGCAGACAAAGUACUGGGGAUGCUGGAUGAAGAGAUUUCCUUACACAGUUUUAAUUUUCUCUUCAAGCUGUCACCGUGGUUUCUUGUUUUUCUUUAAAUGUCUCCUAACUGAAGGAUAAAGAUUUUGCUCUUUUGCAAAGUAGCCUUUUUAUGAUUUUGAUAUUGGUGUCAAAUCUGGGUAGUUCAAAUUCUUUUCUAUUGCUUUGUAUGGCGAAGGAUUUAGUGCAACUAUAAACAUCUCCAGAACUCCCCACAGUAGGGAUAAACUGUGAAUUAUGGACUUGUUAGGAUGGGCUAUUUCUUUAAGGCAAUCUGAACCCAUGGAGCUCUUCUCAGAGAUUUUAUAAAGUAAAUCAAUGUCUGUCUGCAAAUUUAAAUUGAGGAAUUGCUUUGGUAAUUGCAUUGUUAUGUGCCUUUUCCUGAACAAAUAAUACUAAACCUUGAGAUGCUUCAAACUGUGUUCGUGAGUUUUUAACUUCCUGGAAAAAAAUAGUUUAUGUGUUGUAUGCAUCUCCUAGCCUGUGAAUAUGUGAAAUCAAUAAUCAGUGCUGAUUUUAAGACAUUUAACAUCUCUUCUCCAGGUUCACUUCAGUUUCCAGUUCCCCAAACUGAAAUCCUUCUGCAUCACAGUACACAGAGCUGGUGCUGAUGGUAAUUCCUGCAUCACGGCCUGUCAGCAGUGGAUGUGACAGCUGAAAGGCCCAUGAAACUCCCAUGAUGUGAGAUUUCUCCGUGAGAGCCCCGAGCCCGACCCUGCUGAACACGUGCAAGGACAAGGCUUGGCUGGUUUGUUCUGGUUCCUUUUCCUGGAGGAGAUGAGGAUGAGUUUGGGAAUUUCCUGCUCCCACUCCCAGUUUGAUUCAAAGUGUGACUCAGACACUCAGCAGUGGUUCUGAACAAAGACAAACAAAGGAAAAAUUUCCAGCAUUAAAACAGUGCCUAAUUUUGUCCCAAGAAUGCCAAGAUUUCUCCUGGCAGUGUGGUUUCUUUUCCCUUGCACAGGUUCAGGAUGUUUUCCUGCCUCCCCUCCAGCUGCAGAGAAGUUCUGCUUCUGUUCAGUGGAUUUCAUGUGCUCAAGUCCAGCUGCAGCAGCUAUGAUCCCAACAUUGUGAUCACAGCUCGUAUUUACUGUAGUAAAACAGAAAGGAACACAAUUGUCUCCUCCAGUUGUUGGGCUACUUCAGACUGCAUUGUCUCCUGCUUCUUUGGGCACCUGGCUAAAGAAGAGCAGGAGACUCUCAGAGGAUUUCACAGCAUGGACAAGGGUCCCUCCACGUCACGCAGGUCACUCAGAAGACGCUGGAGGGAAGUGGCCAAAGCUCUGCACUGCAAAGGAGCCUCCAGACCCAAGGGUGUGGGUGUGAUUUGAAAGGACUAUGGAAACUGAGCACUGACUGAUAAAGCAUCUCAGAAAGUGCUGGGGCCCUUUUAUAUUGUUAGAGAGAUUUUUUUUACCCUUGUGAAAACUAUUUUUAAAGAUAUUUUCUACAUUUUUCUAUCUCCAGCCUAAAUGUAAGGAUUUAUAACAGUGAAAACAAUGGAAAACCAGCCUUAGUUUGAAGAAUGUUUUCAGCCUUUCUUAUCAAAAUUUAUAAUCCUGUUGUUUUAGCUUUAUGGAACAGUGUACAAACAGUGUAUAAUCAAAGAACAAAAGGAUAUGCAUUCCUUCUGAAUUUGUGUCAGUUCUCAUACGUACAUUUACUAUUAUGUACAUGAUAGUAAUUAAUACCUCAUCAGUUCAAACCUCCAAGCUCACUUCUGAAGAUGUUUGAAAAUGAGAUGCAAGCCUGUACAAACUUUAUAUUACAUCUCUUCAAACUAAUAAAAUUGCUACUUUUCUACAAAAUGUUCCAUACUUCUUUGCAGCAUGGGUGAUUAGUGACA